GCCGCUGUGAUGGAAUGGCAGACAUCGCGGACUUAAAAUCCGCUGGAGGAAACUCCGUAUCGGUUCGACCCCGAUCAGCGGCACCA
rnacentral:tRNA from 1 species